UACGGGGGGAGCAAGCGUUGUUCGGAUUUACUGGGCGUAAAGGGCGCGUAGGCGGUCAGCACAAGUCAGUUGUGAAAUCUCCGGGCUUAACUCGGAAAGGUCAACUGAUACUGUGCGACUAGAGUGCAGAAGGGGCAACUGGAAUUCCGGGUGUAGCGGUGGAAUGCGUAGAUAUCCGGAAGAACACCUGAGGCGAAGGCGGCUUGCUGGGCCUGAUCUGACGCUGAGGCGCGAAAGCGUGGGGAGCAAACAGG
rnacentral:rRNA from 1 species